rnacentral:lncRNA from 1 species
CUGCCUACAAACUAACCAACCGAAGGAUUGGCAGAAUUUUUAUAUUUACAAGGAUUUCAAUUUGUGAAUAUCGUUACGUCAAGUACAAAGUCUGUUAUUAGAAGCCGAGUUUAUUACAUAUUGAAUGAACUAAAGAAAAACGUUUGCACCUGAACAGAACAGAACGUGACAUUUGCAACAUAAUUGCUGCAAAAGAUUGAUGUUCAGUCAUUCAUUCACAAGUGUGCAGGACUAUUAUAGAAAUUUAGCACCUUUAAAAUUAAACUGUUUUCGUACCCCCAACCCCUCGCUGACAAAACGCAAUUAUAUAGUAUGAUAAUUAUGAUGGCGAUUUUCUGUCUUUCAAUAAAAAAAUUAGGAUAUCAGUCAUUAGAAACUGAGGAGAGCGAUCCUUUUGAGCCAUGUGAGUAAUAUUUCGCGUGCAAACGCCUGGGGAGUAGAAGGUGGUCAUCCUUCAUUGAUUGUCCACGAGCACCAAUAUGAGCUAAAAACUACAACGGGGAGAAUUUAUAAAGGUCCAUCUACACGACAUUCACGACACGACUAUUUGUAUACGAUUCUUAUCCUGACGUAUGUACUCGAACUGUAAAUGCGCGUGCAAAGAUGUCACAUUUUAAGAUUUCGCCAUAAACUGAUGAACAAUGUCGUAUAUAGCCUGCGUGUCAGGCUCUAUGCUUGAAAUAGAGCCUGCUACUGAAGUCAAUAAAAAGUGGACAGUGAUUUGGAUGCACAAAAAUAACAACCAAUCAAAAUGGCGAUUGUUAAUUAGAUUAUCAAAGCUAAUUUAAAAUAUGACAAUAACAGCCAAUUUGUCCGCGUAAUUUGCCAUUUCCCAAUCGAGCAGAGGCCUGGGUCUAGUUGCUUGUUUGAAGGGACAAAAAAUAAACAAUGUUGGAAGUUUUCCUAAAUUCCUAAAGUUAUUUGUUCAGCCUGAAACGCCCCAAUUAUAAUAAGGCAUCAUUUAAUAUAUGUUUAGCUCGCUCACUCUAACUUGUUAUCCCUCUCUGGGUACAAGAAUGGUUGUCCCUCCAAACAUCAACUAGACCCAGUCCUCUGCUCGAAUGGGAAAUGGCUAAAUAGGGCCACUUAUACGGGACAAAAUAAGUCGCGACUUACAUAAGACGCGACUUAAUUAAAUAAGACGCGAGUUUUUCGUAUAAAAGGUACAAAAUUCUUAUGUAAGUCGAUCGCGUCUUGGAUAAGACGCGACUUAAAUAAUUAUCUCAUACCUAGCGUAUUAGCGGCUUUCCUAUUGGCUACGAGGAGGUGCGUUCAAUCUCUUAUCCCAUACCUGUGUUAAAAGCGGCUUUCUGAUUGGUUUAGAGCAGGUGAGCUUGUCGUCGAGCUCACCUGCUUUUUGCCGAGCUCACCUGCUUUUCGCCCGAACUCACCCGCUAAACUGCUUACGUUGCAAUAACAAUAACAAAUAUGGCGGACAAGAUUUAGCCGAUAAACCUAAACUUUAAAGAACUUUUUUCGGCGACUAACAUACUGAGACUGAAGAAAAACCAAAGAAAAAAUGCAGUAAAGGUAAUGUAGACGUAGAUAAAGAAGUAUUUUCUUGCCCAGUGAUUUUUUUGGCCGGGAAAAUGUUCACAAAACAUCGACGAGACGACGAAUAUAUCGCGAAGAGCUACAAAUGUGUGUAUGGCUCGGUGUAUGGGAUAAAAACCAAACGUACUUGCAGGUUCGGUGAGUCCGGGAUUGGACGCACCUCGGGUGGCUGGAAGUUUCCCGAACUCACCUCGCUU